rnacentral:rRNA from 1 species
AAAUAGAUACCCGGGUAGUCCACGCCGUAAACGAUGGAUACUAGCUGUUGGGGGCGACCUCAGUGGCUAAGCGAAAGUGAUAAGUAUCCCACCUGGGAAGUACGUUCGCAAGAAUGAAACUCAAAGGAAUUGACGGGGGGCCCGCACAAGCGGUGGAGCAUGUGGUUUAAUUCGAUGAUACGCGAGGAACCUUACCAAGGCUUAAAUGCAGACUGACCGUUUUGGAAACAGAACUUUCGCAAGACAGUCUACAAGGUGCUGCAUGGUUGUCGUCAGCUCGUGCCGUGAGGUGUCAGGUUAAGUCCUAUAACGAGCGCAACCCCUGUUGUUAGUUGCCAGCGAGUAGUGUCGGGAACUCUAACAAGACUGCCAGUGCAAACUGUGAGGAAGGUGGGGAUGACGUCAAAUCAUCACGGCCCUUACGCCUUGGGCUACACACGUGCUACAAUGGCCGGUACAGAGAGCAGCCACCUCGCGAGGGGGAGCGAAUCUACAAAGCCGGUCACAGUUCGGAUCGGAGUCUGCAACUCGACG